UACAGAGGUGGCAAGCGUUGUUCGGAAUUACUGGGCGUAAAGGGCGCGUAGGCGGUCUUGUAAGUCUUGUGUGAAAUCCCUUGGCUUAACUGAGGAACUGCACGAGAUACUGCAAGACUUGAGAUCGGGAGAGGGAAGCGGAAUUCCGGGUGUAGCGGUGAAAUGCGUAGAUAUCAGGAGGAAUACCGAUGGCGAAGGCAGCCCCCUGGGUCGAUACUGACGCUCAUGCACGAAAGCGUGGGGAGCAAACAGG
rnacentral:rRNA from 1 species